rnacentral:rRNA from 1 species
GAUGAACGCUGGCGGCGUGCUUAACACAUGCAAGUCGAACGGUGAAGGCGGAGCUUGCUCUGCUGGAUCAGUGGCGAACGGGUGAGUAACACGUGAGCAAUCUGCCCCUGACUCUGGGAUAAGCGCUGGAAACGGCGUCUAAUACUGGAUACGAGCUGCGAAGGCAUCUUCAGCAGCUGGAAAGAAGUUCGGUCAGGGAUGAGCUCGCGGCCUAUCAGCUUGUUGGUGAGGUAAUGGCUCACCAAGGCGUCGACGGGUAGCCGGCCUGAGAGGGUGACCGGCCACACUGGGACUGAGACACGGCCCAGACUCCUACGGGAGGCAGCAGUGGGGAAUAUUGCACGAUGGGCGAAAGCCUGAUGCAGCAACGCCGCGUGAGGGACGACGGCCUUCGGGUUGUAAACCUCUUUUAGCAGGGAAGAAGCGAAAGUGACGGUACCUGCAGAAAAAGCGCCGGCUAACUACGUG